GUGAAUCAUCGAAUCUUUGAACGCAAAUUGCGCUUCCUAGCAUCCCAGGAAGUAUGCCUGUUUGAGGGUCAGUAUUAACAAAAAAAUCGGUUUGGUUGCAAAUUGUGACGUUUCCGGAGAUUGGGCUAUCUUAACUUUUUUGGUUAAGGGGCUUAAAAUUGACCUUUUUUGCGCUUUUUUAGACUUACAUAAAUUUUUUUUUGUCGUCAUUUUUUUAAGCCCAAAUCUUAUUAAUU
rnacentral:misc_RNA from 1 species